UACAGAGGUCCCAAGCGUUGUUCGGAUUCACUGGGCGUAAAGGGUGCGUAGGUGGUGAGGUAAGUUUGAUGUGAAAGCUCCGAGCUCAACUCGGAAAUGGCAUUGAAUACUACCUCGCUAGAGGAUUGGAGGGGGGACUGGAAUACUUGGUGUAGCAGUGAAAUGCGUAGAUAUCAAGUGGAACACCAGUGGCGAAGGCGAGUCCCUGGACAACUCCUGACACUGAGGCACGAAAGCUAGGGGAGCAAACAGG
rnacentral:rRNA from 1 species